GCUGAUAUGUGAAACAGUGGCUUGAGGUGGUUCGGUUUUCUACCGUGGAUGCGUCGUAUGGAACCGAGAAGAGAGAGGAAACCGCGCCGCUGAAAGAGAAGGAGCAGGAAGCUCCUAGACAGCGGACGCCAGGCACUUCAGGAGUUUAGGGGGGGCUUCCAAGAGAGAGAGCUUUUGUGAGGGAAACUUCAGGUAAGAGAGAAAUUGGGUGUACGAAGAUUGAGGGUG
rnacentral:lncRNA from 1 species